GUCAGCCGCCGCGGAAACACCGGCAGCUCUAGUGGUAACAAUUUUAUGGGCCUAAAGCGUCCGUAGCCGGUUUAAUAAGUCUCUGGUGAAAUCAUGUAGCUUAACUGUGGGAAUUGCUGGAGAUACUAUUAGACUUGAGACCGGGCGAGGUUAGAGGUACUCCCAGGGUAGAGGUGAAAUUCUGUAAUCCUGGGAGGACCGCCUGUUGCGAAGGCGUCUAACUGGAACGGUUCUGACGGUGAGGGACGAAAGUUAGGGGCGCGAACCGGAUUAGAUACCCGGGUAGUCCUAACUGUAAACGAUGCGGACUUGGUGUUGGGUGGCUUUGAGCUGCUCCAGUGCCGAAGGGAAGCUGUUAAGUCCGCCGCCUGGGAAGUACGGUCGCAAGACUGAAACUUAAGGAAUUGGCGGGGGAGCACCACAACGCGUGGAGCCUGCCGGUUUAAUUGGAUUCAACGCCGGACAUCUCACCAGAGGCGACAGCUGUAUGAUAGCCAGGUUGAUGACUUUGCUUGACUAGCUGAGAAGUGGUGCAUGG
rnacentral:rRNA from 1 species